AUCGAACGGGGUCCUUCGGGGGCCCCAGUGGCGCACGGGUGCGUAACGCGUAUGCAACCUACCUCGAACUGGGGGAUAGCCUCCCGAAAGGGAGAUUAAUACCGCAUAACACCAUAUGAUGGCAUCUGAGUAUGGUUAAAGAUUUAUCGGUUCGAGAUGGGCAUGCGUGCCAUUAGCUAGUUGGUGGUGUAAGGGACCACCAAGGCUACGAUGGCUAGGGGUUCUGAGAGGACGGUCCCCCACACUGGCACUGAGAUACGGGCCAGACUCCUACGGGAGGCAGCAGUAGGGAAUAUUGGGCAAUGGGCGGAAGCCUGACCCAGCCAUGCCGCGUGCAGGAUGAAGGCCUUCUGGGUUGUAAACUGCUUUUACAGGGGAAGAAAACGCCCAUGCGUGGGAAACUGACGGUACCCUGGGAAUAAGCACCGGCUAA
rnacentral:rRNA from 1 species